GACGAACGCUGGCGGCGUGCUUAACACAUGCAAGUCGAACGGGAUUUAGUAAACAGAAGCCUCGGUGGAAGAUUACUAAUGAGAGUGGCGAACGGGUGAGUAACGCGUGAGCAACCUGCCUAUGACAGUGGGAUAGCCUCGGGAAACCGGGAUUAAUACCGCAUAAAAUCGUAGAAACACAUGUUUUAACGGUCAAAGAUUUAUCGGUCAUAGAUGGGCUCGCGUCUGAUUAGCUAGUUGGUGAGAUAACAGCCCACCAAGGCGACGAUCAGUAGCCGGUCUGAGAGGAUGAACGGCCACAUUGGAACUGAGACACGGUCCAAACUCCUACGGGAGGCAGCAGUGGGGAAUAUUGCACAAUGGGGGAAACCCUGAUGCAGCGACGCCGCGUGAACGAAGAAGGUAUUCGUAUCGUAAAGUUCUGUCCUAUGGGAAGAUAAUGACAGUACCAUAGAAGAAAGCUCCGGCUAACUACGUG
rnacentral:rRNA from 1 species